GACGAACGCUGGCGGCGUGCCUAACACAUGCCAGUCGAACGGAAAGGCCCUGCUUUUGUGGGGUGCUCGAGUGGCGAACGGGUGAGUAACACGUGAGUAACCUGCCCUUGACUUUGGGAUAACUUCAGGAAACUGGGGCUAAUACCGGAUAGGAGCUCCUGCUGCAUGGUGGGGGUUGGAAAGUUUCGGCGGUUGGGGAUGGACUCGCGGCUUAUCAGCUUGUUGGUGGGGUAGUGGCUUACCAAGGCUUUGACGGGUAGCCGGCCUGAGAGGGUGACCGGCCACAUUGGGACUGAGAUACGGCCCAGACUCCUACGGGAGGCAGCAGUGGGGAAUAUUGCACAAUGGGCGGAAGCCUGAUGCAGCAACGCCGCGUGCGGGAUGACGGCCUUCGGGUUGUAAACCGCUUUCGCCUGUGACGAAGCGUGAGUGACGGUAAUGGGUAAAGAAGCACCGGCUAACUACGUG
rnacentral:rRNA from 1 species